rnacentral:rRNA from 1 species
GACGAACCGUGCGAACGUUGUUCGGAAUCACUGGGCUUAAAGGGCGCGUAGGCGGCCGCGCACGUCCGGGGUGAAAUCUUUCGGCUUAACCGGAAAAGGGCCCCGGAUACGGCGCGGCUCGAGGGGGAGAGGGGCGGACGGAACUUCCGGUGGAGCGGUGAAAUGCGUUGAUAUCGGAAGGAACGCCGGUGGCGAAAGCGGUCCGCUGGAUCCCUUCUGACGCUGAGGCGCGAAAGCCAGGGGAGCGAACGGG